UACGUAGGGUGCAAGCGUUGUCCGGAAUUAUUGGGCGUAAAGGGCUCGUAGGCGGUUUGUCACGUCAGGAGUGAAAACUCGGGGCUCAACCCCGAGCCUGCUUCUGAUACGGGCAGACUAGAGGUAUGCAGGGGAGAACGGAAUUCCUGGUGUAGCGGUGAAAUGCGCAGAUAUCAGGAGGAACACCGGUGGCGAAGGCGGUUCUCUGGGCAUUACCUGACGCUGAGGAGCGAAGUGUGGGAGCGAACAGG
rnacentral:rRNA from 1 species